GAUGAAUGCUGGCUGUGUGGAUAAGGCAUGCAAGUCGAAUGAGUUUAUACUCAUGGCGAACGAGGUAGUAACACGUAGGAUUACAUGCCCUUGAGUCAAGGAUAACCUGGAGAAAUCCAGAAUAAUACUUGAUAGUCCCUUCGGGGUAAAGAUUUAUCGCUCAAGGAGUGGCCUGCGGAGUAUCAGCUUGUUGGUAGUGUAAAGGACUACCAAGGCUAUGACGCUUAGGGGAGGUGAGAGCCUGACCCCCACCGAUGGAACUGAGACACGGUCCAU
rnacentral:rRNA from 1 species